GGUUCUCCUAAUCAUCUCUCAUGGGCUGAUGGAUUGCAACUUGCAGAAUACAUGAAGUAUCAGUUUCCACAGUUAGCAAGUGUUCAUCUGUCGGUGUUAAUCCCAUCAGCCAGUAAGGAUGCAAUUGACCUAAUCUCGUCACUUUGUUCCUGGGAUCCUAGCAAAAGACCAAAAGCAGCGGAGGUCCUUCAGCAUCCCUUCUUCCAGCCCUGCUAUUAUGUCCCUCCAUAUCUUCGGCCAAAAGUGC
rnacentral:misc_RNA from 1 species